UACGGGGGGGGCAAGCGUUGUUCGGAAUUACUGGGCGUAAAGGGCGCGUAGGCGGCCUGCUAAGUCGGAUGUGAAAUCCCUCGGCUCAACCGAGGAACUGCAUCCGAUACUGGCGGGCUUGAAUCCGGGAGAGGGUAGUGGAAUUCCCGGUGUAGUGGUGAAAUGCGUAGAUAUCGGGAGGAACACCAGUGGCGAAGGCGACUACCUGGCCUGUUCUUGACGCUGAGGCGCGAAAGCUAGGGGAGCAAACGGG
rnacentral:rRNA from 1 species